GGUCCUGUAGAUCAGUGGUUAGAGCGAUUGGCUUACGAGCCAUAGGUCGUGGGUUCGACCCCCUCCGGGACUA
rnacentral:tRNA from 1 species